rnacentral:rRNA from 1 species
GUUAUAUGGUCAAGUGAAGAAGCGCAUACGGUGGAUGCCUUGGCAGUCAGAGGCGAUGAAAGACGUGGUAGCCUGCGAAAAGCUUCGGGGAGUCGGCAAACAGACUGUGAUCCGGAGAUGUCUGAAUGGGGGAACCCAGCCAUCAUAAGAUGUUUAUCUUGUACUGAAUACAUAGGUGCAAGAGGCGAACCAGGGGAACUGAAACAUCUAAGUACCCUGAGGAAAAGAAAUCAACCGAGAUUCCCUUAGUAGUGGCGAGCGAACGGGGACCAGCCCUUAAGUUGUAUUGAGAUUAGCGGAACACUCUGGAAAGGGUGGCCAUAGUGGGUGAUAGCCCUGUACGCGAAAAUCCCUUUGCAAUGAAAUCGAGUAGGACGGGGCACGAGAAACCUUGUCUGAAUAUGGGGGGACCAUCCUCCAAGGCUAAAUACUACUGACUGACCGAUAGUGAACCAGUACCGUGAGGGAAAGGCGAAAAGAACCGCGGAGAGCGGAGUGAAAUAGAUCCUGAAACCGUAUGCGUACAAGCAGUGGGAGCCCACUUUGUUGGGUGACUGCGUACCUUUUGUAUAAUGGGUCAGCGACUUAUUUUCAGUGGCGAGCUUAACCGAAUAGGGGAGGCGUAGCGAAAGCGAGUCUUAAUAGGGCGUCUAGUCGCUGGGAAUAGACCCGAAACCGGGCGAUCUAUCCAUGGGCAGGUUGAAGGUUGGGUAACACUAACUGGAGGACCGAACCGACUACCGUUGAAAAGUUAGCGGAUGACCUGUGGAUCGGAGUGAAAGGCUAAUCAAGCUCGGAGAUAGCUGGUUCUCCUCGAAAGCUAUUUAGGUAGCGCCUCAUGUAUCACUGUAGGGGGUAGAGCACUGUUUCGGCUAGGGGGUCAUCCCGACUUACCAAACCGAUGCAAACUCCGAAUACCUACAAGUGCCGAGCAUGGGAGACACACGGCGGGUGCUAACGUCCGUCGUGAAAAGGGAAACAACCCAGACCGUCAGCUAAGGUCCCAAAGUCAUGGUUAAGUGGGAAACGAUGUGGGAAGGCUUAGACAGCUAGGAGGUUGGCUUAGAAGCAGCCACCCUUUAAAGAAAGCGUAAUAGCUCACUAGUCGAGUCGGCCUGCGCGGAAGAUGUAACGGGGCUCAAACCAUGCACCGAAGCUACGGGUAUCAUCUUAGGAUGAUGCGGUAGAGGAGCGUUCUGUAAGCCUGUGAAGGUGAGUUGAGAAGCUUGCUGGAGGUAUCAGAAGUGCGAAUGCUGACAUGAGUAACGACAAUGGGUGUGAAAAACACCCACGCCGAAAGACCAAGGUUUCCUGCGCAACGUUAAUCGACGCAGGGUUAGUCGGUCCCUAAGGCGAGGCUGAAAAGCGUAGUCGAUGGAAAACAGGUUAAUAUUCCUGUACUUCUGGUUAUUGCGAUGGAGGGACGGAGAAGGCUAGGCCAGCCUGGCGUUGGUUGUCCAGGUUUAAGGUGGUAGGCUGAGAUCUUAGGUAAAUCCGGGAUCUCAAGGCCGAGAGCUGAUGACGAGUGUUCUUUUAGAACACGAAGUGGUUGAUGCCAUGCUUCCAAGAAAAGCUUCUAAGCUUCAGGUAACCAGGAACCGUACCCCAAACCGACACAGGUGGUUGGGUAGAGAAUACCAAGGCGCUUGAGAGAACUCGGGUGAAGGAACUAGGCAAAAUGGCACCGUAACUUCGGGAGAAGGUGCGCCGGUGGAGGUGAAGCAUUUACUGCGUAAGCCCCUGCCGGUCGAAGAUACCAGGCCGCUGCGACUGUUUAUUAAAAACACAGCACUCUGCAAACACGAAAGUGGACGUAUAGGGUGUGACGCCUGCCCGGUGCCGGAAGGUUAAUUGAUGGGGUUAGCGCAAGCGAAGCUCUUGAUCGAAGCCCCGGUAAACGGCGGCCGUAACUAUAACGGUCCUAAGGUAGCGAAAUUCCUUGUCGGGUAAGUUCCGACCUGCACGAAUGGCGUAACGAUGGCGGCGCUGUCUCCACCCGAGACUCAGUGAAAUUGAAAUCGCUGUGAAGAUGCAGUGUAUCCGCGGCUAGACGGAAAGACCCCGUGAACCUUUACUAUAGCUUUGCACUGGACUUUGAAUUUGCUUGUGUAGGAUAGGUGGGAGGCUUUGAAGCGUGGACGCCAGUCUGCGUGGAGCCAACCUUGAAAUACCACCCUGGCAACUUUGAGGUUCUAACUCAGGUCCGUUAUCCGGAUCGAGGACAGUGUAUGGUGGGUAGUUUGACUGGGGCGGUCUCCUCCUAAAGAGUAACGGAGGAGUACGAAGGUGCGCUCAGACCGGUCGGAAAUCGGUCGUAGAGUAUAAAGGCAAAAGCGCGCUUGACUGCGAGACAGACACGUCGAGCAGGUACGAAAGUAGGUCUUAGUGAUCCGGUGGUUCUGUAUGGAAGGGCCAUCGCUCAACGGAUAAAAGGUACUCCGGGGAUAACAGGCUGAUACCGCCCAAGAGUUCAUAUCGACGGCGGUGUUUGGCACCUCGAUGUCGGCUCAUCACAUCCUGGGGCUGAAGCCGGUCCCAAGGGUAUGGCUGUUCGCCAUUUAAAGUGGUACGCGAGCUGGGUUUAGAACGUCGUGAGACAGUUCGGUCCCUAUCUGCCGUGGACGUUUGAGAUUUGAGAGGGGCUGCUCCUAGUACGAGAGGACCGGAGUGGACGAACCUCUGGUGUUCCGGUUGUCACGCCAGUGGCAUUGCCGGGUAGCUAUGUUCGGAAAAGAUAACCGCUGAAAGCAUCUAAGCGGGAAACUUGCCUCAAGAUGAGAUCUCACUGGAACCUUGAGUUCCCUGAAGGGCCGUCGAAGACUACGACGUUGAUAGGUUGGGUGUGUAAGCGCUGUGAGGCGUUGAGCUAACCAAUACUAAUUGCCCGUGAGGCUUGACCAUAUAACACCCAAGCAAUU